CCUACGGGGGGCUGCAGUGGGGAAUAUUGCGCAAUGGGGGAAACCCUGACGCAGCAACGCCGCGUGGAGGAAGAAGGUCUUCGGAUUGUAAACUCCUGUCUUCCGGGACGAUAAUGACGGUACCGGAGGAGGAAGCCACGGCUAACUACGUGCCAGCAGCCGCGGUAAUACGUAGGUGGCGAGCGUUGUCCGGAAUUACUGGGCGUAAAGGGCGCGUAGGCGGUUUUUUAAGUUAGAUGUGAAAACCCAGGGCUUAACUUUGGGCGUGCAUUUAAAACUGGAGAACUUGAGUGCAGGAGAGGUAAGUGGAAUUCCUAGUGUAGCGGUGAAAUGCGUAGAUAUUAGGAGGAACACCAGUGGCGAAGGCGACUUACUGGACUGUAACUGACGCUGAGGCGCGAAAGCGUGGGGAGCAAACAGGAUUAGAUACCCCGGUAGUC
rnacentral:rRNA from 1 species